UACGAAGGGAGCUAGCGUUGUUCGGAAUCACUGGGCGUAAAGCGCACGUAGGCGGAUUUGCCAGUCAGGGGUGAAAUCCCGGGGCUCAACCUCGGAACUGCCUUUGAUACAGCAAGUCUUGAGUUCGAGAGAGGUGGGUGGAAUUCCUAGUGUAGAGGUGAAAUGCGCAGAUAUCGGGAGGAACACCAAUGGCGAAGGCAGCUCGCUGGGACGGUACUGACGCUGAGACGCGAAAGCGUGGGGAGCAAACAGG
rnacentral:rRNA from 1 species